UCUCCGUUGGUGAACCAGCGGAGGGAUCAUUAUCGAGUUGACAACCCCCAAACCCUAUGUGAACUUACCACUUGUUGCUUCGGUGCGCGCUUCGGUGCCGCCGAGGACACUUAAACCCUUUGUUUUUAUAAGCAUUUCUGAGUGGCCGAAAGGCAAAAUACAAAUGAAUCAAAACUUUCAACAACGGAUCUCUUGGUUCUG
rnacentral:misc_RNA from 1 species